rnacentral:rRNA from 1 species
AGUAGUCAUACGCUCGUCUCAAAGAUUAAGCCAUGCAUGUGUAAGUAUAAAUAAUUAUACUUUGAAACUGCGAAUGGCUCAUUAUAUCAGUCAUAGUUUCUUAGAAAUACUUUACGACGAGGAUAACCGUAGUAAUUCUAGGGGUAAUUCAUGAGUAAAUCCUCAACUUCGGAAGAGGUGUGUUCAUUAGUAUGAAAACCAUAUAUCUUCGGAUAUAAUAGUGAGUAAUAAUAACCUUUCGUAUCGUAUGUCGUAAGAUAACGAUAGU